rnacentral:rRNA from 1 species
AACGUAGGAGACGAGCGUUAUCCGGAAUUACUGGGCGUAAAGCGCGAGUAGGCGGCUAUUUAAGUGGUCUGUGAAAGCGUCCGGCUCAACUGGACGAGGCCGGAUCAGACUGGAUGGCUAGAGGGUCAGAGAGGCAGGCGGAAUUCCGGGUGUAGUGGUGAAAUGCGUAGAGAUCCGGAGGAACACCAGUGGCGAAGGCGGCCUGCUGGCUGACAACUGACGCUGAGGCGCGAAAGCAUGGGGAGCGAACGGG